rnacentral:rRNA from 1 species
GAUCCUGGCUCAGAUUGAACGCUGGCGGCAUGCCUUACACAUGCAAGUCGAACGGCAGCACGGACUUCGGUCUGGUGGCGAGUGGCGAACGGGUGAGUAAUGUAUCGGAACGUGCCUGGUAGUGGGGGAUAACUAGUCGAAAGAUUAGCUAAUACCGCAUACGACCUACAGGUGAAAGCAGGGGACCUUCGGGCCUUGUGCUAUCAGAGCGGCCGAUAUCUGAUUAGCUAGUUGGUGGGUAAAGGCCCACCAAGGCGACGAUCAGUAGCUGGUUUGAGAGAACGACCAGUCACACUGGAACUGAGACACGGUCCAGACUCCUACGGGAGGCAGCAGUGGGGAAUAUUGGACAAUGGGGCAACCCUGAUCCAGCCAUGCCGCGUGUGUGAAGAAGGCCUUCGGGUUGUAAAGCACUUUAAGUGGGGAGGAAGGCUCGCUGGUUAAUAGUCAGCGGGAGUGACGUUACCCACAGAAUAAGCACCGGCAAACUCCGUG